GGGGAUGUAACUCAGUGGUAGAGUGCUUGCUUUGCAUGCAUUAGGACCUGGGUUCAGUUCUCAGCAACACAC
rnacentral:tRNA from 1 species